rnacentral:lncRNA from 10 species
GAAAUAUUCCAGUGAUCGCUUCCUUCUGCCAUGUGCCUAUUGUCAAACGCUUUACACCAGUGUCUUCAAAAUCUGAGUUUCGACCCAUCAGUGGGUUAUGAAAAUAGUUCAUUUUGUCAAGAGCAGCAUUUUAAAAAGAAAAGAGCAUUGAAAAUAUCAGAGUGUAUUGAACACAGCAAGAAAGGAGAAAUUGAGACCCAGACAGCGAAAGACACCACCCAACCCAGCAAGCAGGAAGCUCAGGAUUUGACUCAAGGCCAGCGUUCCCUUGCCAUUACUUUGAAGACUCCAUAUAUUUUGAAAAUGCCUGUGGUUCCUGCAUUCUCCACUGUAGUAUACCUGUGGGAUUUUAAACAUUUUAUUGAAAAAGAAUAUUUCAACCCUACACCAUUGAAUAAACUACCAUGCACAGAGGAUUCCUCCUGCUGCUCAUGGGCGCUCUCAGAUGGGCAGUGGAGGGGGUUCUUUAGGCGGGCAGGGGAGCAAGACCCUCAGCACUGAUCCCUGUGGCCCUUCUGUGUUACCUCUGUCCUCUGCAGGCUGGUCUCAGGGGACAUGGCUCCCCACUAUCACCUCUGAACCCAGCUGGCCGCGUUAUUAAACCACAGAUCAUCUUGUUUCGGAGAGAGAGUUUCUUCCUUGAGCCUCCCAGCCAAGCCCUUCUGAAGGAUUCCGGGGUUGGCUGGUAGGUCCCGGCUUCUAAUCUUCCCUGCCCUCUCCUCAUCUUGGACAGGACUCAGCAGAGCCCAGUUUGCUGUCCAGGGCGGCUCCUGAGCAGAUGUGACUUGGUUGCCAAGGCAACUCAGUGAGGGGAGAAAACAGGCCUUAGGGAAAUGAACACAGUGCUGACUUGGGUGAGGGGUAUUUUGCUUUUAUUUUUUCCUCCUUCACUGAAAGGAUGAAGGAAACCAGGGUUGGAUGGAGGGAACCUCCAGCACUAGAUCUGUGUAUUUAUUGCUGGGGUGGGAGUACCAGGGUGUUAAAGCAAACUUAAAAUGAACACCUGGGCAAACAAAAGCAAACAGGCCUUCAGAAAGGCUGUAACCCCCCUUAAACUGCCAACUAUGGGGAACUUAACUGGAGUCGUUUCAGAUGGGUGCUUACGUUAGGCACAAACAAAACUUAACUUCGGCCAGUCAUGAGCAGCCAGCUGACAGACGGGUACACGACUAGGAAUUUUCCAACAAGGUAAACCAAAAAACAUAAUUUGACAACUGCAACAAAUCAAAUAAUGUCCUUAUUCCACUUCCAUAUUCACCCUAUAAAUACCUGCCUCUGACACUUUUCCAUCAUAACAUGAAAUGUCUUUCAUUUUGAUGUUUCCCACUUCAUGACUUGCUUCUUCCUCAAAUAAAGUCUUCAAAAUUCG